AUUAAUUUAUUAUAAAUAAUAUUAACAUUAAAUAUUAUUUAUUUGAUGUCAAAAAAAUAUGAAUAAUUAAAUUAUGUUAACAAAAAUUCAAUCGUAGUGUCAACUGAAAAAUUUAUGAAUAAAAAAACACAGUGAAAAAGUUGAUGGGUAUGUCAUAUUCAAUCCAGAGAGACUUGAUUAUUGUAAAGAGGAAAAGUGAGGUUAAACCCAGAGUUGACAGCCUACGUUUUUGUUGUUGAUAUGUCAUAUAUGUUUGGAAACAUUUUAAUGUUGUUGCAAAUCCUGAAUGCAAAUACAAGACAGGAAGUUUUAAAUAUUGUGGAAAAAAAUAUGUUCCAAAUGCUGGUAGAAUGAUGAAGCAUCUUGCUCAAGAAUGUCAAAAUUGUGAUGAUGAAAUUUAAACAAAUUUUAUGGAAAUAAUUGUGCAAAAAAAAUAAACUUGAUGUCAGACAAUCAUCUGAGCAAGUUGUAGCACUAAUUACAAAGAACAAAACAACUUAAAACAAAGGCUCAAUUGACAGGUUUAUUGAUACUAAAAUGUCCAAAGAAAAUCAUGAUAAAUUGAAUGCUUCUUGUGCACGAGCAAUAUAUGCCAGAGCUUUAAUUAACAUUAUUGUAUUCAAAAAAGGGUUACAAGUAUUAAAUUGUAAAGUUCAAAGUACACCAAAAAUUAAUCAUAAAAUUUAAAAACAUAUCUAGUUUUUAGUUGAGUUUGUCCUUUUUUUUUUUCUUUUUUUUCUCAUCAAAAAAUUGCUUAUUUUUUUGUUUUUUCCUUUUAAUUUAUUUUUUUUAAGGACAAAUUGCAAGUGCAAAAUAUUGACAAACUAAUGUCACAAUGAAAAUAGAAAGCUUUAUUAGUUUUCAACAAGUUCAUGGUAUAAAAAAAUAUAAAAAACGUUAACAUAUGGUAUAUUUCUAAAUUUGUAUUAUUCUACUUGUUACA